rnacentral:misc_RNA from 1 species
GAUGAAGAACGCAUCGAAAUGCGAUAAGUAAUGUGAAUUGCAGAAUUCAGUGAAUCAUCGAAUCUUUGAACGCACAUUGCGCCCCCUGGUAUUCCGGGGGGCAUGCCUGUUCGAGCGUCAUUUCACCACUCAAGCCUCGCUUGGUAUUGGGCAACGCGGUCCGCCGCGUGCCUCAAAUCGACCGGCUGGGUCUUCUGUCCCCUAAGCGUUGUGGAAACUAUUCGCUAAAGGGUGUUCGGGAGGCUACGCCGUAAAACAACCCCAUUUCUAAGGUUGACCUCGGAUCAGGUAGGGAUACCCGCUGAACUUAAGCAUAUCAAUAAGCGGAGGA